GUAUAUACUGAGCAUAAAAAAGAAAAAAGAACACCAGAAUAAGAAACACAUGAAGAUGAAGCAAAAAUGAGAAAAAUGAAAAGAAAAGAAGAUGAAGCAAAACGAUAGAGAAUAGCAAGCAUAGGAAGUUGGAAGAAGAGUUGGAAGAAGAAGACUAGCAAACACCCUGGCGGCAGAUUUUGUUCUCUACAUCAUAAUAAGACAAUUAUUUAGGGUUAUGCAUAUUAUAUUAUAUUAUGGGCUUGGGCCAUUUG
rnacentral:lncRNA from 1 species